UUAAAAAGCUCGUAGUCGGAUUUUGGCUGAGAACGGUCGGUCCGCCGUUAGGUGUGCACUGACUGGUCUCAGCUUCCUGGUGAGGAGGUGUGCUUCAUCGCCACUUAGUCACCGUGGUUACUUUGAAAAAAUUAGAGUGUUCAAAGCGGGCUUACGCUUGAAUAUAUUAGCAUGGAAUAACACCAUAGGACUCCUGUCCUAUUUCGUUGGUCUCGGGACGGGAGUAAUGAUUAAGAGGAACAGUUGGG
rnacentral:rRNA from 1 species